UACGAAGGGGGCUAGCGUUGCUCGGAAUUACUGGGCGUAAAGGGCGCGUAGGCGGAUGGCACAGUCAGAUGUGAAAUUCCCGGGCUUAACCUGGGGGCUGCAUUUGAUACGUGUUGUCUCGAGUGAGGAAGAGGGUCGUGGAAUUCCCAGUGUAGAGGUGAAAUUCGUAGAUAUUGGGAAGAACACCGGUGGCGAAGGCGGCGACCUGGUCCUUGACUGACGCUGAGGCGCGAAAGCGUGGGGAGCAAACAGG
rnacentral:rRNA from 1 species